ensembl:lncRNA
ACAGAUUUGAUGAAAGCCAUAAAUUUACAUGUCCAACAUGCUCAUCAGAUAACCUUCAAAAAUGAUGCCCAAACAUCACAAUUACAUUUUAAAUCAGUGGGAAAAAUUUUAAAACCAUGUCCACAUACAUCAGAGUCAAAACGGAAUCAGUGGGAAAAAGUGGAAAGCAUCCAGAUAAAAGGGCCAGGUUACAUACAGAGGAAAAAUGGUUUGAAUGGUUUCAGAUUUCACGUCAGAAGCCACUGUGGUAUAAGACUGAUCGUCCUGAGAGACGGGCAGAGCCAGCGUGGAGCUCUGGGCAUAUUCUUCAGGAAUGACAGCAAAGCACUCAUUCUGAGAGGAAGAACACUUGAGAGGAUGUGUUGCCUGCAGACCUUCCUUAAAGGGAUGAGAAGGCGAGUUCUUCAGGCAGAAAGGAAAUAAUUCUCGAGGGAAACUUGGAAAUUCAACAGUAAAGGAAGAGUAAAAAGUGGCAAGAACACGAGUGGGCUGCCACUUCCUGCCGCAGGGGAUCUUCCCGACCCAGGGAUGGAGCGUGUAGGUCUGGCGUCUCCUGCAUCGGCAGGCGGGUUCUUUACCACCGAGCCACCUGGGAAGCCGCAGGGCCGUUCUGUAAGUAGCCUCCGGCUCUCGGUUGCAGAUGGUGGGUGUGAUGGCGUGAGCCCAUAGGGCUAGACCUCACCUCUGUCGCUGGGGCUCGCCAAGAGUCCAUGCAGCCUCCACUACACGCGGAUGUGGGGGUCCCGGGACUGAAGUUACUGCGGAGCCCCGCCUUGGGGCUCCACUCCGGUCCACCAGCUUCUCAGUCACGUGAGAAGUCACUCGUUUUCCCAAGGAUGACAUAUGCUGCUUCUGCAAGAAGAGGAUGCCCACCCAGAAGCGUGCCUCUCUCUCAGGGCUAGGUGUGGCACGGCGCAGGGGCCCGUGCUUACUACACGGAGUGUCUUGACAGCCUCUGAGAACAGGACCUCUGUUAACCUCCCUGCUUUGGGACGCUCUGGAUCGCUGAAUUUCUUUUUUCUUAAAAAGCAGAAAGAAAAUGACAACUCCCACCUUUCACAGUGUAUACCAGGGUUAACAGAGUACUCGCCGCCCUCUGCCCAGCAGGUCCAGUUAACAAGACGUCAUCGACGCUGUGGACAGAUGGGAUGUUCUGCCCGAUGUCAGGGAGCCGGGGGCCCUGUGCUGCGAGGCGGGGAGGAUUAAUUUGCCUCCGGCAAAGUGUGGACGUGAACUGCAGUCCAGCCUAGGUGAACACGAACUGCUUCUUAGUUACCAGAUCCACAGCUGCGUGAAAGUGAGCCAAGGCUGCCUAAUUCUGUUUUGGGGGAGGUACCCACCCCACACAGCAGCUGCGACAGGAGCUGACGUGGGUGAAGUCUGAGGCCUUCAUGCGUCGGGUCUGCAGAGGCCAGGCUGGGUGCUGAGCAGGAGCACGGUGCAUGAGCCCCACUGCCCACCUAUGUCUUUGCGGGCGGCGCUGCCAUUCCACCUGACUGCAGCGUUGCUUUUGAUUGCCUAUGCGCUCUGGGAUAGGAC